rnacentral:misc_RNA from 1 species
GUAGGUGAACCUGCGGAAGGAUCAUUAACACGUAUCCACGUUAAUAACCCGAGAACUCUUAGGAGAGAGUCCCUUUCCUUUUGGAAAAGGACAAUCUCCUUUGAUUAAUAACUUAAAGAGCGAAUGCUUUACCUGAGUCUCUCAGGUUAAGGUACUUCAAUCUUUAUGUUAUUUGCCUUUAGGGGACAAGUCUUCGGAUGCGACCCCUAAAGGUUACUUGAAACCCCUUUUUUCUAACUUAAAGGCCGUC